CGAGCCUGAAUUUGGUUACAAAUUUGGUGGCCCAUACGGGAAGCACUGUGUGUUUUGAGUGGUCUGAGCCGGUUGAUCUGGUUUCCAACAAGUGAGGCAAUUGGCUGCAGAAAUGUGCCAGGGCUUAACCGUUCAUGCUAUGAGAUGGGACAAGAAACACUAAUGAAUACCAGCUGCUCAUGGCUAUCUGACUCCAUCGCUGGGGCACUAGGAAAUUUCCCUGAAGCUGCUGAGAUACCUUUGUCUCGAGAAACCUCCCUUCUCUCCCUGUCACAGUGUCUGCUACCUACUAUCCUUCUCUGGUACAAGGAAAGUGACAUCUGAAGAAGUCAAUGGACUUCAGAACUAGCUAAGUCAACCAGAGUUCACCUGGAUCCCCUCUGCCUCUUCUGUGAUGCUACUUGGGAUCUGUUCUGUUUGGACCUAGCUGCUUGUGAUGCCAUUUGGGUGUGUACACCAUCCGUGGCACCAUAGUCUCACUCUGCUGCUCAGGCUGGAGUGCAGUGGUGUGAUCUCGGCUCACUGCAACAUCUGCCUCCCAGGUUCAAGCAAUUCUUCUGCCUAAGCCUCCCAAGUAGCUGGGACUAUAGUGCUCAAUGCUGUCUGUGUGAAAACAAGGCUGAAAACACCUGGGUCUCAAGAUAUAACCUUGAAGCAAACUGCAGAAAUUUUUUCCCCUCCUCAGUCUUAAUAUAUAGCUUUGAAACAUACCAAGAGUCUUUGUUCCCCCGCCAUUUCCCACCGUACACUCCCUUACGUCACAUACAUUUAUCUGACUGUAGGCUUGUAUCUAAAUAUGUGCUUACUUAGAAGUUCUAGGGACUAAUUUUGAGACAGAUUACAGGCAUGGAAACCCAGCUGCAAAAUUCCAGAGAUUACCUCAAAGCAGUUAGUCAACAACCCGGCCAUUGUGGGGAUGAUGCCAGCCCAUGCUCCAGGUGGACCAUGACUCAAGAUAGCCACCAGAACGAGACGCACGGACCUGUACCCAGCACCACUCCUUGCAUGCCACCCACUGCAAGUUCCCUUUGUAAGCCCCUCUCCCCAGGCUAAAGUUUGAAAUGGUUCCUUUAAGGCACAAGCCAUGGCCACUUCUCCAGUGCUAGCUCUGGAAUAAAGCUUCUUUCUUUUCACUGCAUC
rnacentral:lncRNA from 1 species